UACAGAGGGUGCGAGCGUUAAUCGGAAUUACUGGGCGUAAAGCGCGCGUAGGCGGCUUUGCAAGUCGGGUGUGAAAUCCCCAGGCUUAACCUGGGAACUGCAUCCGAGACUGCAUUGCUAGAGUAUGGGAGAGGGAAGUGGAAUUUCAGGUGUAGCGGUGAAAUGCGUAGAUAUCAGGAGGAACACCUAUGGCGAAGGCAGCUUGCUGGGACGACACUGACGCUGAGACGCGAAAGCGUGGGGAGCAAACAGG
rnacentral:rRNA from 1 species